GCCCAGCCAGAGCCCAGACUUGAAUCCAAUUGAACAUCUCUGGAAAGACCUAAAAAUGGCUGUCCACCGACACUGCCCAUCCAACCUGACUUACCUUGAGAGGAUCUACAGAGAAGAAUGAGAGAAAAUGCCCCAAAACAGGUCUGGAACUCACACCCGAUAAAUGGGGGUUCACUGUAUACAGUAAUUUGAUGAAAAGUCAUGGUAUGGAGGAAGAGUGACUCACACGUCGUGUCUCUCGCCCAUCUGUCUCCAUCCCCGCUAGUCAUCACCCAGUGAGUCUGAUGAGCCGAGGCUUUCUGACAGACGGCCUCGAUGGCGCAAGCCGCCCAUGACACUAACUCACGCUGACGAAGAGGCCAUCUCGUCUACUUGAGCGUGAAAAACAAAACAAAACAAAAACAAGACAGGAAAUCAUAACUCUUUACAUCCUGUUUUUUUUAUUUUUAGACUACAAAAGUUAUUAGAAUAGGCAAUUUCCUGUGUACACCAAAGAUAUGUCUUGUUUUUGUCCACCUGGCAUCAGCAUCCUCACAUUCUACUAUAGUAUGUGACUGAGUGUGUAUGGCUUUAAAAGGUGCGGCCUGUCCUGGUGAGUGAUAUGGGCGCUAGGCCUCUCACGAUAAAUCUUUUAGGACGAUAUAUUUUCCCCAAAAAAU